rnacentral:tRNA from 4 species
ACGAGUGUAGUGUAGUGGUUAUCACCCGGCGUUGCCAACGCCGGAACCCGGGUUCAAAUCCCGGCACUCGUACCA